rnacentral:rRNA from 1 species
GUGUCAGCAGCCGCGGUAAUACUCGCGGUCCAAGUCGCAGCCAUCUUUAUUGGGUCUAAAACAUCCGUAGCUUGCCUGGUAAGUUCCUUGUGAAAUCCGGCCUCUUAAGGGUCGGGCGCGCAAGGAGUACUGCCAGGCUAGAGACCGGCAGACGCAGGAAGUAUGUUCGAAGUAGCGGUAAAAUGCAUUAAUCUCGGACAGACUCACAACAGCGAAGGCAUCCUGCGAGGACGGUUCUGACUGUCAGGGAUGAAGGCUAGGGGCGCAAAACGGAUUAGAAACCCCGGUAGUCC